rnacentral:lncRNA from 1 species
CUACUUAGGAUGGUUAAAGUUAUGCUAUGGUUGGUUGCCAAAGCUAAUAAUUCAGAUUACCAUUAUGAAGGAUCGAUAGAACAUUUAGAAUAAUAUCUGUUGCGUAAGAUGAACCACAAUUAGAAGCACAACAUUUUUUCAUAUCUCGAGCUUGACCAGCCACAUCCUUUAAGUGGAUCGAAAUAAAAACUCUAGGCAUAGGAAUUUUCCGAAGGAGCAAAUUUAGGCCACAGCCAACUGGAAAGCUGGAACCACCCAU